AUGGCUAAGAUCCGGGAGAGGAAGACGAGGGAUAUUGGCCAAGUCAAAUGCAUCAAGGACGGAGCAGGCCAACUCUUGAUGAAGGACGAAGAGAUUAAGCAUAGAUGGCAGGAGUACUUCGACAAGCUGUUCAAUGGGGAGAAUGAGAGUUCUACCAUUGAACUGAAUGACUCCUUUGAUGAGACCAGCAUGCGUUUUGUGCGGCGCAUCCAGGAGUCUGAGGUGAAGGAGGCUUUAAAAAGAAUGAAAGGAGGCAAGGCGAUGGGCCCUGAUUGUAUCCCCAUUGAGGUGUGGAAAGGUCUCGGGGACAUAGCGAUAGUAUGGCUAACCAAGCUUUUCAACCUCAUUUUUCGGGCAAACAAGAUGCCAGAAGAAUGGAGACGGAGUAUAUUAGUACCAAUCUUCAAGAACAAGGGAGAUGUUCAGAGUUGUACUAAUUACCAUGGAAUUAAGCUGAUGAGCCAUACAAUGAAGCUAUGGGAGAGAGUCAUUGAGCACCGCUUAAGAAGAAUGACAAGCGUGACAAAAAAUCAGUUUGGUUUCAUGCCUGGGAGGUCGACCAUGGAAGCCAUUUUCUUGGUACGACAACUUAUGGAGAGAUAUAGGGAGCAUAAGAAGGACUUGCAUAUGGUGUUCAUUGACUUGGAGAAGGCCUAUGAUAAGAUACCGCGGAAUGUCAUGUGGUGGGCCUUGGAGAAACACAAAGUCCCAACAAAGUACAUUACCCUCAUCAAGGACAUGUACAAUAAUGUUGUGACAAGUGUUCGAACAAGUGAUGUCGACACCGAUGACUUCCCGAUUAAGAUAGGACUGCAUCAGGGGUCAGCUUUGAGCCCUUAUCUUUUUGCAUUGGUGAUGGAUGAGGUCACAAGAGGUAUACAAGGAGAUAUCCCAUGGUGUAUGCUCUUUGCGGAUGAUGUGGUGCUAGUUGACGAUAGUCGGACGGGGGUAAAUAGGAAGUUAGAGUUAUGGAGACAAACCUUGGAAUCGAAAGGGUUUAGGCUUAGUAGAACUAAAACCGAGUACAUGAUGUGCGGUUUCAGUACUACUAGCUGUGAGGAGGAGGAGGUUAGCCUUGAUGGCCAGGUGGUACCUCGGAAGGACACCUUUCGGUAUUUGGGGUCAAUGUUGCAGGAGGAUGGGGGUAUUGAUGAAGAUGUGAACCAUCGAAUCAAAGCCGGAUGGAUGAAGUGGCGCCAAGCUUCUGGCAUUCUCUGUGACAAGAGAGUGCCACAAAAGCUAAAAGGCAAGUUCUACAGGACGGCGGUUCGACCCGCAAUGUUGUAUGGAGCGGAGUGUUGGCCGACUAAAAGGCGACAUGUUCAACAGUUAGGUGUGGCGGAGAUGCGUAUGUUGAGAUGGAUGUGUGGCCACACGAGGAAGGAUCGAGUCCGGAAUGAUGAUAUACGAGAUAGAGUUGGGGUAGCACCAAUUGAGGAGAAGCUUGUCCAACAUCGUUCGAGAUGGUUUGGGCAUAUUCAGCGCAGGCCUCCAGAAGCUCCAGUGCAUAGCGGACGGCUAAAGCGUGCGGAGAAUGUCAAGAGAGGGCGGGGUCGACCGAUUUUGACAUGGAAGGAGUCCGUUAAGAGAGACCUGAAGGAUUGGAGUAUCGACAAAGAGCUAGCUAUGGACAGGGGUGCGUGGAAGCUUGCUAUCCAUAUGCCAGAGCCAUGA
rnacentral:rRNA from 1 species